GUCAGAAAGAAAGGGGUACCAUGAGUGAUUGAGAUCCUCAGAGAGUAAUGGAUGGGGAGAAAAUGGAAAAGUAUGAAAUAUGUGUUUGGGAGAGGAGAAGAAAAUCCAGGUAAGAGAGCAAAGCUGUGUAAAGAAAGUGGUGGUGGUGUGUGUGGGGUGGGGGGAACAGGCAGGGCUUAGAGCCAGAGUCUGGACCACUUCAGACCCACAGGGCCCUGGGUAUCUGGUCUACUCGCUGGGCAGCUGAGGCAUCCAGAUAGCUUGGCCAGAGAUAAGAGCAGGAGGAUGUGACAGGCAGGCAUCCUGGGAUUUAAGGCUUUGUCCAGCCACAUUGGCUUUGCCUGGGCCAGUCUUGCCUGGUGCUGGCUAUGAGAGUGGAAGGGCAUGGAAAGAUGGGGUACAAUGGGUAGAGGGCAAAUCUAUCUGGAGAUCUUGCAUCUUCCCCAGCCCUCCUCCGUCCCCUGGGUAGCAACUGAACCUAUGAGUUCAAGAAUUGGAGAGAUUUGAACCAUGUGAUCCUGAGUGAGUCCUCUUCCCCUUCAGAACCUCACCCGCUCUAUCUGUAAUGGGGAAGGGGGUAGGAGGGGUAAUAGUGCCUACUAUUGAGGAUUAAAUGAGGUAAUGUCAGGCACACUGAAGCCACUCUGUCACCUGUAACUGUCA
rnacentral:lncRNA from 1 species